AUUUAUAAUUGGUAUCGGAAACACGUGGUGUUGUUCGUUUACGUGUUUAGGUAGUAUUUAUAGUAUCUAAGAUUUGAUUGGAUUUUAACGAUUGAUAUGAGUUCAAAUGAAAUCGUGCGGAACAGGUAGUUUACCUGUGUCCAGGUAUUAAGAAUUAGAGGUUAUUCGAGGUUUCGCUGCGCUUAGUGCAACAAGUAAAAAGUCGAAUAAAUGUCUCGGCAAAAAACAGAUUUCUUGGCCCAAUACCGGGAGGAAGAUGAGUCUCUAGACGAUACUCUACUACAAGAAACCGAUGGUGAACAGAAAACCACUCGCAAGAAGGCAAAUUCUGCGGAGACCUCUGGACACUCUAGCCCCCGUGUAAGUGUGGACUUGGCCGAUACUUUCAACUUGUUCAAGUCAUACCUGGACAACAAACUAGAUACUCUCAAGGAGGAACUCUCUACGGGUAACGACAUCGAAAAUUUAACAAAAACCAUUAAAAAAGAGGUCUCUGUAAAAUUCAAGAGUGAAGGGAACAAAAUUCAGUUUAACUUUAAUACUGAAAUAUUGGGUGAUUUGAAUAAACUUAAAAAGCGCAUUUCAGAUUCCUCCACAUUGAGCAUCGUUAAAGAGCUCAUUUCCAAGGUCACUAAACGUAACAAGCUCAUCAGGAUCGCCGAUAAAUCUCCGGCCGGGUGGUCGACAGUCCGUGAGUAUGAAAGUGAUGAUUUGGCGUCCGACUCUGAGGACGAAAAACGUCUACGUCAAGCUGAAAACCGAGCAUUACGAGCUCUCAAGGAAAAACGCCGUUUUCAGCCAUACUCCAAGUCUGGUUCUGCAACAACUUCGCUACCUGAUGGUAGGUCUGGUGGUUCUGGCCGUAAUUUUCGUCCCUACAAGCGUAAGGAGGCCUCUCCAUACGACGUGUGCUACAACUGCCAUAAGCUCGGCCAUUGGAAAUCCGCAUGCACUGCCCCAGCCAGAACCAACAACCCAAGCGCAAGCUCGUCAACCCAGUGAUUAUGAGAAUCAUUUUGCAGAUGUUUUCAAAACUGGAAAUUGGAUUUCGUUAUGGAGGACCUCUCAUCCCUCCUUACAAUCGCUGGCAAAGAAACUUCCGGAUUUAAUCAUGAAUUCCAAGGCUGAAAACACAAGAAAAACGUACGGAUAUGCCUUCAAUAAAUUUCAAUGUUGUUUCAAAGAAGAAUAUUUAGAAUAUUUGUAACAUUUAUGUGUAAUAAAUGUCUGUUGCACAGACGCAGGCGAUGCCGUUCCUAAACAUGUGUUGGAGUUUUGAAUUUAUAAAUAAUUUAUGUUCGGUUGAACUGGUGAAUUAGAACAUAA